GAUGAACGCUGGCGGCGUGCCUAAUACAUGCAAGUCGAGCGAACGGAUGAGAAGCUUGCUUCUCUGAUGUUAGCGGCGGACGGGUGAGUAACACGUGGAUAACCUACCUAUAAGACUGGGAUAACUUCGGGAAACCGGAGCUAAUACCGGAUAAUAUUUUGAACCGCAUGGUUCAAAAGUGAAAGACGGUCUUGCUGUCACUUAUAGAUGGAUCCGCGCUGCAUUAGCUAGUUGGUAAGGUAACGGCUUACCAAGGCAACGAUGCAUAGCCGACCUGAGAGGGUGAUCGGCCACACUGGAACUGAGACACGGUCCAGACUCCUACGGGAGGCAGCAGUAGGGAAUCUUCCGCAAUGGGCGAAAGCCUGACGGAGCAACGCCGCGUGAGUGAUGAAGGUCUUCGGAUCGUAAAACUCUGUUAUUAGGGAAGAACAUAUGUGUAAGUAACUGUGCACAUCUUGACGGUACCUAAUCAGAAAGCCACGGCUAACUACGUGCCAGCAGCCGCGGUAAUACGUAGGUGGCAAGCGUUAUCCGGAAUUAUUGGGCGUAAAGCGCGCGUAGGCGGUUUUUUAAGUCUGAUGUGAAAGCCCACGGCUCAACCGUGGAGGGUCAUUGGAAACUGGAAAACUUGAGUGCAGAAGAGGAAAGUGGAAUUCCAUGUGUAGCGGUGAAAUGCGCAGAGAUAUGGAGGAACACCAGUGGCGAAGGCGACUUUCUGGUCUGUAACUGACGCUGAUGUGCGAAAGCGUGGGGAUCAAACAGG
rnacentral:rRNA from 1 species